rnacentral:lncRNA from 1 species
GCAUAUUUGUUUGCCUGGUCCUAAGCCCUCCCUUAGAAUAUACAUUAAGCUCCAGCCAGUACUGCCUUACCAGGUGGUCUAUCUUUGCUGGGGGACCUUAGAGCCACAAACCUCAGGGAGAUUGCAGGUUCAUGAGGGAGAAAUCAAGGAGAAGCAUUUAACAUUGCUACUAAUUUAGUUGUAGGACAAAGUUCCCAGACACCUUUGUGAGUAGGGGCAGGUGGAUGGGACUGCCACUGUUGAAGGCUAUCCACUCUGUAACAAGACAUGUAUUGAAGGUGUUAGCAGCUUUUGCACUAAUGGUUCUGAAAGUCCUCACAGAGGUACAAAGGCAUUAAACAACUGGGACAACUCUACAACUUGCACUGGCUUCAGAAGUCUGGGAGAGAAAGAUGUGUGAAGAAGGAAGCUGCCAAGUUCCUAAAUGGGAGCUUUGACUUUAGGCAAUAAAAUUACACUUCUCCCUUUUUGAAUCUCCUGA